UGUGGGAGCGAGCUUGCUCGCGAUGGCGUCGGGUCAGUUGGUGCGGUGUUGACUGAUACGCCGCCAUCGCGAGCAAGCUCGCUCCCACA
rnacentral:misc_RNA from 1 species